ACGGCGAGUGAACCGGGAAGAGCUCAAAUUUGAAAUCUGGCGUCCUCAGGGCGUCCGAGUUGUAAUCUAUAGAGGCGUUUUCCGUGCCGGACCGUGUCCAAGUUCCUUGGAACAGGAUAUCAAAGAGGGUGACAAUCCCGUACUUGACACGACGACCGGUGCUCUGUGAUACGUCUUCUACGAGUCGAGUUGUUUGGGAAUGCAGCUCAAAAUGGGUGGUGAGUUCCAUCUAAAGCUAAAUAUUGGCGAGAGACCGAUAGCGAACAAGUACCGUGAGGGAAAGAUGAAAAGCACUUUGGAAAGAGAGUUAAACAGUACGUGAAAUUGUUGAAAGGGAAACGAUUGAAGUCAGUCGUGACCGAGAGGCUCAGCCGGUUCUGCCGGUGUAUUCCCCUCGGUCGGGUCAACAUCAGUUUUGUCCGGUGGAUAAGGGCGGUAGGAAGGUGGCACCCUCGGGUGUGUUAUAGCCUGCCGUCGCAUACAUCGGGUGAGACUGAGGAACGCAGCUCGCCUUUAUGGCCGGGGUUCGCCCACGUCCGAGCUUAGGAUGUUGACAUAAUGGCUUUAAACGACCCGUCUUGA
rnacentral:rRNA from 1 species